rnacentral:rRNA from 2 species
GAGCCCAGAACCUGAAUCAGUUUGUGUGUUAGUGGAAGCGUCUGGAAAGUCGCACAGUAAAGGGUGAUAGUCCCGUACACAAAAAUGCACAAGCUGUGAGUUCGAUGAGUAGGGCGGGACACGUGACAUCCUGUCUGAAUAUGGGGGGACCAUCCUCCAAGGCUAAAUACUCCUGACUGACCGAUAGUGAACCAGUACCGUGAGGGAAAGGCGAAAAGAACCCCGGCGAGGGGAGUGAAAUAGAACCUGAAACCGUGUACGUACAAGCAGUGGGAGCCUACUUGUUAGGUGACUGCGUACCUUUUGUAUAAUGGGUCAGCGACUUAUAUUCUGUAGCAAGGUUAACCGUAUAGGGGAGCCGCAGGGAAACCGAGUCUUAACUGGGCGUUAAGUUGCAGGGUAUAGACCCGAAACCCGGUGAUCUAGCCAUGGGCAGGUUGAAGGUUGGGUAACACUAACUGGAGGACCGAACCGACUAAUGUUGAAAAAUUAGCGGAUGACUUGUGGCUGGGGGUGAAAGGCCAAUCAAACCGGGAGAUAGCUGGUUCUCCCCGAAAGCUAUUUAGGUAGCGCCUCGUGAA